rnacentral:lncRNA from 1 species
CCGGGGGGCAGGGCUUGGCAAUGGGAAGCAUCACAAAGCAGCGUGACCCCACCCCUGGAGUGCUCCCCUCCCCUCCCCUGUCCUGAGAUGCUGCUGCAGACUCACGUCUUCCUCCCCAAAGGUCCUGGGAGCCCAGCGAGGGAGCCCAGAGUGUCUACCAUUCACAGAGAGCCUCUCCAGAGCAGCAGGUGUGCCGAGGACGGGGACUCAGGCGUGCACCAGGUCAAUUCUCUGAUAAAAUCAGAAAGCUGAUGGCCAGGCAUGGUGGUGUGUGCCUGUGGUCCCAGCUACUCACAGGGCUGAGAUGGGAGGAUCGAUUAAGCCCAGGAGGUGGAGGCUGCGGGAAGCCAUGACUGAGCCACUGCACUGCAGCCUGGGCAACAGAGCGAGACCCUGUCUCUAAAAAACAAAUAACAAAACCAAAACAAAAGCAAGCAAGCAAGCAGAAACUGAGGACUACUCAAACGCCUGGGAAAAUAAAACGUCGGAUUCGAAGCGCCUUUCUCCCAAACCGGCUCUGAGAUGUGCUGGCCUCUCCUCUCCAAGACUUGGGGAUGAGGGCUGCAAGCAGUCUGGGACCACCUUCAGGUGAGGCUGGGCUGUGGGUGCUGG